rnacentral:rRNA from 1 species
ACGACGCUGGCGGCGUGCUUAACACAUGCAAGUCGAACGAUGAAGCCCAGCUUGCUGGGUGGAUUAGUGGCGAACGGGUGAGUAACACGCGGGUGAUCUGCCCUGCACUCUGGGAUAAGCCUGGGAAACUGGGUCUAAUACCGGAUAUGACCUCUUGCUGCAUGGCGAGGGGUGGAAAGUUUUCGGUGCAGGAUGAGCCCGCGGCCUAUCAGCUUGUUGGUGGGGUAAUGGCCUACCAAGGCGACGACGGGUAGCCGGCCUGAGAGGGCGACCGGCCACACUGGGACUGAGACACGGCCCAGACUCCUACGGGAGGCAGCAGUGGGGAAUAUUGCACAAUGGGCGAAAGCCUGAUGCAGCGACGCCGCGUGAGGGAUGACGGCCUUCGGGUUGUAAACCUCUUUCAGCAGGGACGAAGCGAAAGUGACGGCACCUGCAGAAGAAGCACCGGCCAACUACGUG